CACGUAGGGCGCGAGCGUUGUCCGGAAUUAUUGGGCGUAAAGAGCUCGUAGGCGGCCUGUUGCGUCCGCUGUGAAAGCCCGGGGCUUAACCCCGGGUCUGCAGUGGAUACGGGCAGGCUAGAGGUAGGUAGGGGAGAAUGGAAUUCCCGGUGUAGCGGUGAAAUGCGCAGAUAUCGGGAGGAACACCAGUGGCGAAGGCGAUCACCUGGGGUUGUUCUGACGCUGAGGAGCGAAAGCUAGGGGAGCAAACGGG
rnacentral:rRNA from 1 species